CAGAGGAAAGAAACUUCAAGAGUUCGUGGUCUAUGAAAAUAAAAGUCCACUGGUUUCGCGAGCAAUUUCCAUCUAAUCAACUGGAGACUGACAGCAUGUAGAGAUGUGUGGCACUUAACAAAAGAACCUGUCUAAUGAACACUACAGCUGAAAAAUGCAGAAUGAAUUCAAUAGGCAUUUUAUAAUGCAGAUCAGAUAUGAAGCAAGUAUAAUGUAAAUGUAAUAUGCCUUCACUGUAAAAAAAAGAAAACAUUAAGUAUAAAAAAUUGGUAAUUAUAUAGAGAAUAUAGAGUUCAAGAUCCACUGGGGCAGAGACCAAUGUGACUGACUGAAAGUUUGUAAUAUGUGUGCACUGUAAAUAAAUAAAUGACCAAUGUUUUAAAACUGCAUUAAA